rnacentral:lncRNA from 1 species
CAGGUACUCAAAAUUAUUAAUGAGAUCUUUUACAUUCUUUUAGAAGUGUUUCAUAACGUCUCUGCAGCAGCCACAUUCCCCAUGCUCAGCAGCGGCUCACAGCCUGGAUGGCAGUGCGGUGUAGACAUUUGAGCUGUGGGCAGGACUCUUCCCGGUCCUCAUGGCUGAGCACACAGUGCCGGGCCAGGUGGUGCACACUGGGGGACCAUGGGCCGGGCUGGUCCUGGCUCUGCACUGUCCCUGUGACCCUCGGGAUGUUCCUCAGCAUCUUUUGGCGAUGGUUCCUUUCCUGUAGGAUGCGAGGCCGACAGCAUCUGCUGCUAGGAGUUGUGAGGACACGUGAGUUCAUUUCAGUUGGGUGCAGCGCUGGCCUAGUAAUCUCACUGACCCUUGGUCGCUCAGCCAGUGACUGUGCCCACCUGCCACCAUCAUAAGAUGGCGGACUUGGGGGUCAGGAGAGCCCUUCCAGGACUGCAGAAGCUGGUCCUUGGGGGUCUCGCAGCAGAUCCUGGGGGCGUUCCCAGUAUGGGUGCAAUGUACAUGGGGGGCUCAGGACGGGAGGCCCAUGCCAGCCCCUGGGCCUCCAGAGCUGGCAGAAGGCACAGCCCUGCAUGGCCAAGGGCGCUGGGCUGCGUGGAGAAUGUGCGGGUUCUGUUGUUUUGCCAGCUUUAGCAGUUUACCCAACCUAACAAAAAAAAAGGAUAUGCAACUGGGACAGCAUGUGGCCCACGAAGCCUCAAAUAUUGCCUCUGGCCCUUCACAGAACACGUGUUCUAGAAAGGAAAUCCUAUGCUCGUGGGCUAGGGGCUUGCUGGGUGGGGAGAGGGGUUCAAAACGUGGUUUGUCACUUCCUAUGAGGGUGAUCCGACAGGACUUCGUGGAGACGGUGGCGUUUAAGUGGCCUAAGAAGAACUGGAAGGAUUCAGAGGAGCGGAGGGACGUGGCCUGGUGGGCAGAAGUCAUGGCUGGGUGUCGCAGGCUCUGUGCAGCUCUGACAGCUGCAAUGCAGGCAGGCACCGCCCCCCCCCCCCCCAAUGCUUUACGGCCAUCGGGUCUGCAAGUUAUAAACUUGGUUACCCCCAGAACGUUGUUUAAACAGUACUGUGUUCUAGAACAUGCUGAGAUAGCAUUUAUGCAACUGAUGCCAAGGUGUGGAACAGGUUAGUCUGGCUUUUUCCUCAACAAUCCAGGAGGAGGACAGGGAGAAGGCAGCAUUGUUCCUGAGCGGGUGAGGCCAAUUUCAUCCUGAGUGAUAGUGACAGUAAUAACUGAUAAGAAAUGAAAUCACAGCUUUUCACACGCAGAGCCUGACUAAUGGCUGACCCUUCCUCCAUCUCUGGGUGCUCAUGCUGGAGAGCGAUGGGCCCUCCCUCCACUGCCGGGGGGGGACGUGCUGGAGAGUGACAGGCCCUACUUCCAAUCCUCGGUGUUUCUGCUGGAGAGCAAGGGGCCCUCCCUCCUCUCCUUGGUGCACGUGCUGGAGAGUGACGGGCCGGCAGUUCACGCCUCGUGCUCCUGCUGGAGAGCGAUGGGCCCUCCCUCCAAUCCUUGGUGCACAUGCUGGAGAGUGACAGGCCCGCAGUCCACUCCUGGUGCUCCUUCUGGAGUGACAGGCUCUCUCUCCACUCCGUGGUGCACGUGCUGGAGAGUGACGGGCCCGCAGUUCACUCCUGGUGCUCCUGCUGGAGUGACAGGCUCUCUCUCCACUCCGUGGUGCACGUGCUGGAGAGUGACGGGCCGGCAGUCCACUCCUCGUGCUCCUGCUGGAGAGCGACAGGCCCUCCCUCCAAUCCUUGGUGCUUCUGCUGGAGAGCGACAGGCUCUCCCUCCACUCCUCGGUGUGCGUGCUGGAGAGUGACAGGCCCUCCCUCCACUCCUCAUGCUCCUGCUGGAGAGCCGCAGGCCCUCCCUCCACUCGUGCUCCUGCUGGAGAGCGACAGGCCCUCCCUCCAGUCCUGGUGCUCCUGCAGGAGAGCAACAGGCCCUCCCUCCACUCGUGCUCCUGCUGGAGAGCGACAGGCCCUCCCUCCAGUCCUGGUGCUCCUGCUGGAGAGCGACAGGCCCUCCCUCCAGUCCUCGUGCUCCUGCUGGAGAGCGGCAGGCCCUCCCUCCGGUCUUCGGUGCGCGUGCUGGAGAGCGGCAGGAGCUCGGCCUUCUUAGGGUGUUUGGGACCCCAUCCAGCGUGGUUUUGCUUUAGUUCCCCGCCCAGGGAGAGGAGCUCGGCAAGCAGCACCGGGUUUAUUCUUGCUCAUUUAUUCAAAAGAAAGGUACUGAGUUUGAAAAUGCACCAAGCACUGGAGAGAAGAGAAAGGUGAGAGGACCUCGGGGCCUGCCUGUAAGAGGCUCAGGAUGUGGCUGGGGAUGAGGCCCAGUGGCACCUUCAACGCAGGAGAUGAGGGGGUCUGGAUCCCACCGUCAGAGCACGCACGCAACCUGUCCACUCCCUCAGGACUGCAGAAAAGGUCCAUUCUUGUAUUUCUUUUUAAGUUGAAUUAAAUCCAUCUCUAGCCCCUGCCUCUGAACUGAUGGAGUGUGGCUGUUAUUGGGCCGCCCUCACCCGCAAGGGGUGGAACCAGAGCUUGGGGCUGAGGCGCUCCUGGAGUGUUUAGCGCCUCUGCUGUCAGGACAUCCUGUGGCCACUGGCACGCUGUCUUCCCACACAGAGCCCCCGACCAGCAGCGGAGCCACCCACUCUCCACAGCCAGGGUUGGGAGCCCUGGGGCCCGAGUCCCCGGUCCCACGUGCCACACAAGGCAGGACAUUCUGGGUGCUGUCGCAUCCCCGGAAUCAGGGCCUGGACCCUGGUCAGAGCAGGACCUGCAGGUGACCCCGGGUGGGGCAGACUGUCUUCUGUCCUUGGUGGCAAAGCCGGUGUUCUCGGCGUCAUGUCUGCACACGUGUGCCUGAAGCCACGGGAACGCAGGGGCUACCUCCGGGCCUGGGCCUGGGCUGUGGAGCAGGAUCGGGGAGGACACACAGGUGGGCGUCUCAAGAACUGUGGUGUACACAGCUGAGCCCCUGCAGCUCUGCUUUGCCGGGCCUCACCCUCGGUGCUGGGUGCAAGACGUGACAAGAUGGCAUGGGAAGCUUCCCGGGGAACGCUGGAACUGGGUGUUUGAAGGAGGACCUCAUGGCGGCAGCUCCAGCCCAAGUACUGCAACUGUGGGGCCGUGCCAGGAGCAGGUGCUGCGGAGCCUGUGUGGGUCCAGGACAAGAGGAGCACCAGAAGCCCCUGGAGGGCCGUGCAGACGACACUGUCGGGCCGGCCCAGCCCAGGCCCCAGCAGUUAUGACUCCUCUGUGAUCAGAGGAUGUGGCUGAGGAUGUGCAUUUCCGUCAAGUUCCCAGGAGAACCUGGUGCUGCUGCUUCGGGGACCCCACUUUGAGGACCACUGAUCUAACACUGCCCCUCGUGGCAAACGCGGAAUGACUCAAGAUUCAGCUGGAUGGAUCAUUCAGGGAGCAAAUCCACCUUUGCCGCCUGGCACACCCUGGCCAUUCGGUAACGAUGCCAUCAGGGUUACUGGCUUCUUCAUUCUCCACUGUGCAUUCCAGGGUGGGCAUUUCCACAGUUGUGAGCCCAUCAUCAACUCAGCGAGUUCCCAUUUUCCAGUUAGAAAAUAAGCUUUCUGAUGGUUAGCCAUUCAC